CAAAUGAAGAUUAACAUUCGCUAAAUAAUUGAGCACAUACAAUUUUUAAAAAAGCAAUAACAAGAUAAUGGGAAAAAUAUGAAAAAACCUGAGACUCUAUGUCACACCUAUAUAAUUUAAGGAAGAAAUUUGAGUUAGGUUUUGGUUUAAAAGAUGGAAAUAUGUUAAAAGUUGUUGCCUGGAUAUAGAGAUGAGAAAUAGCAAUUAAAAUGGAACCCAAAACUAGAAAAAAGUAGAAGUUUACAUUUGUUAGGGAAUAAGUGUAGUUCUUAAAUUUAGGUACCCAUACACAUUUUCUAAUCCCUUAAGAAAUAUAUUGACAUGUAAGACUCAGCUGAAGAGCAAGUUGAGGGAUCCUCUUGUCGAUUUAAGCAUGUGUAAUUGGACCUAUAUACCAUCAUUAAACCAUAAUAAGUAAUUU
rnacentral:lncRNA from 1 species